UACGAAGGGGGCUAGCGUUGUUCGGAAUGACUGGGCGUAAAGCGCGCGUAGGCGGACCAGCAAGUCAGGGGUGAAAGCCCGGGGCUCAACCCCGGAACGGCACCCGAUACUCCUGGGCUCGAGACCGGGAGAGGUGGGUGGAAUACCCAGUGUAGAGGUGAAAUUCGUAGAUAUUGGGUGGAACACCGGUGGCGAAGGCGGCCCACUGGCCCGGUUCUGACGCUGAGGCGCGAAAGCGUGGGGAGCAAACAGG
rnacentral:rRNA from 1 species